UACUGAGGGUCAUUGGCACCGCCGCCUUCCUGCUCAGCUCUACAGAACAUCCAGCAACCAAGGAGAAAAGGUUUCUGAUUCAGGGAGCACGAUGGCACAGAACAGAACCGAUUCAUCAGGGUUUGGAAACAUCAUCUCCAAAAGUGAUCUGGUUCAUUCAGGACCUCCUGAGGUCUUCCAGCUGAGAACAAAGAAAGAGAAGA